CAUUCGAUAGCUCAGUUGGUAGAGCAGAGGACUGUACAUCCGUAGGUCGCUGAUUCGACUCUGACUCGAAGGA